GUCGUCGUUCUCGCCUCUGCC
rnacentral:siRNA from 1 species